UGCACCUCUGGCGUCGAGCGGCGGACGGGUGAGUAAUGCUUGGGAAUAUGCCUUAUGGUGGGGGACAACAGUUGGAAACGACUGCUAAUACCGCAUGAUGUCUACGGACCAAAGUGGGGGACCUUCGGGCCUCACGCCAUAAGAUUAGCCCAAGUGGGAUUAGCUAGUUGGUGAGGUAAUGGCUCACCAAGGCGACGAUCCCUAGCUGGUUUGAGAGGAUGAUCAGCCACACUGGGACUGAGACACGGCCCAGACUCCUACGGGAGGCAGCAGUGGGGAAUAUUGCACAAUGGGCGCAAGCCUGAUGCAGCCAUGCCGCGUGUGUGAAGAAGGCCUUCGGGUUGUAAAGCACUUUCAGUAAGGAGGAAAGGUUAAGUGUUAAUAGCACUUAGCUGUGACGUUACUUACAGAAGAAGCACCGGCUAACUCCGUGCCAGCAGCCGCGGUAAUACGGAGGGUGCGAGCGUUAAUCGGAAUUACUGGGCGUAAAGCGUACGCAGGCGGUUUGUUAAGCGAGAUGUGAAAGCCCCGGGCUCAACCUGGGAACUGCAUUUCGA
rnacentral:rRNA from 1 species